rnacentral:rRNA from 1 species
UGAUGAACGCUAGCUACAGGCUUAACACAUGCAAGUCGAGGGGCAGCAUGGUCUUAGCUUGCUAAGGCCGAUGGCGACCGGCGCACGGGUGAGUAACACGUAUCCAACCUGCCGUCUACUCUUGGACAGCCUUCUGAAAGGAAGAUUAAUACAAGAUGGCAUCAUGAGUCCGCAUGUUCACAUGAUUAAAGGUAUUCCGGUAGACGAUGGGGAUGCGUUCCAUUAGAUAGUAGGCGGGGUAACGGCCCACCUAGUCUUCGAUGGAUAGGGGUUCUGAGAGGAAGGUCCCCCACAUUGGAACUGAGACACGGUCCAAACUCCUACGGGAGGCAGCAGUGAGGAAUAUUGGUCAAUGGGCGAGAGCCUGAACCAGUCAAGUAGCGUGAAGGAUGACUGCCCUAUGGGUUGUAAACUUCUUUUAUAAAGGAAUAAAGUCGGGUAUGGAUACCCGUUUGCAUGUACUUUAUGAAUAAGGAUCGGCUAACUCCGUGCCAGCAGCCGCGGUAAUACGGAGGAUCCGAGCGUUAUCCGGAUUUAUUGGGUUUAAAGGGAGCGUAGAUGGAUGUUUAAGUCAGUUGUGAAAGUUUGCGGCUCAACCGUAAAAUUGCAGUUGAUACUGGAUAUCUUGAGUGCAGUUGAGGCAGGCGGAAUUCGUGGUGUAGCGGUGAAAUGCUUAGAUAUCACGAAGAACUCCGAUUGCGAAGGCAGCCUGCUAAGCUGCAACUGACAUUGAGGCUCGAAAGUGUGGGUAUCAAACAGGAUUAGAUACCCUGGUAGUCCACACGGUAAACGAUGAAUACUCGCUGUUUGCGAUAUACUGCAAGCGGCCAAGCGAAAGCGUUAAGUAUUCCACCUGGGGAGUACGCCGGCAACGGUGAAACUCAAAGGAAUUGACGGGGGCCCGCACAAGCGGAGGAACAUGUGGUUUAAUUCGAUGAUACGCGAGGAACCUUACCCGGGCUUAAAUUGCAGAUGAAUUACGGUGAAAGCCGUAAGCCGCAAGGCAUCUGUGAAGGUGCUGCAUGGUUGUCGUCAGCUCGUGCCGUGAGGUGUCGGCUUAAGUGCCAUAACGAGCGCAACCCUUGUUGUCAGUUACUAACAGGUUCCGCUGAGGACUCUGACAAGACUGCCAUCGUAAGAUGUGAGGAAGGUGGGGAUGACGUCAAAUCAGCACGGCCCUUACGUCCGGGGCUACACACGUGUUACAAUGGGGGGUACAGAGGGCCGCUACCACGCGAGUGGAUGCCAAUCCCCAAAACCUCUCUCAGUUCGGACUGGAGUCUGCAACCCGACUCCACGAAGCUGGAUUCGCUAGUAAUCGCGCAUCAGCCACGGCGCGGUGAAUACGUUCCCGGGCCUUGUACACACCGCCCGUCAAGCCAUGGGAGCCGGGGGUACCUGAAGUGCGUAACCGCGAGGAGCGCCCUAGGGUAA